rnacentral:rRNA from 1 species
GAGUUUGAUCUUGGCUCAGAUUGAACGCUGGCGGCAGGCCUAACACAUGCAAGUCGAGCGGAUGAAGGGAGCUUGCUCCUGGAUUCAGCGGCGGACGGGUGAGUAAUGCCUAGGAAUCUGCCUGGUAGUGGGGGAUAACGUCCGGAAACGGGCGCUAAUACCGCAUACGUCCUGAGGGAGAAAGUGGGGGAUCUUCGGACCUCACGCUAUCAGAUGAGCCUAGGUCGGAUUAGCUAGUUGGUGGGGUAAAGGCCUACCAAGGCGACGAUCCGUAACUGGUCUGAGAGGAUGAUCAGUCACACUGGAACUGAGACACGGUCCAGACUCCUACGGGAGGCAGCAGUGGGGAAUAUUGGACAAUGGGCGAAAGCCUGAUCCAGCCAUGCCGCGUGUGUGAAGAAGGUCUUCGGAUUGUAAAGCACUUUAAGUUGGGAGGAAGGGCAGUAAGUUAAUACCUUGCUGUUUUGACGUUACCAACAGAAUAAGCACCGGCUAACUUCGUGCCAGCAGCCGCGGUAACG